UGGGGAAUAUUGGGCAAUGGAGGAAACUCUGACCCAGCAACGCCGCGUGAAUGAUGAAGGUCUUCGGAUUGUAAAGUUCUGUGAUGAGGGAAGAACACAAUGACAGUACCUCAAUAGCAAGCCACGGCAAACUACGUGCCAGCAGCCGCGGUAAUACGUAGGUGGCAAGCGUUGUCCGGAAUGACUGGGCGUAAAGGGUGCGUAGGCGGUCUGUUAAGAUAGAAGUGAAAUCCCUGGGCUCAACCCAGGAACUGCUUUUAUUACUGACGGACUCGAGUGAUGGAGAGGUAAAUGGAAUUCCUAGUGUAGCGGUGGAAUGCGUAGAUAUUAGGAGGAACACCAGAGGCGAAGGCGAUUUACUGGACAUUAACUGACGCUGAUGCACGAAAGCGUGGGGAGCAAACA
rnacentral:rRNA from 1 species